rnacentral:tRNA from 1 species
CAGUAUGUAGUUUAGUUAAAAUAUAAUAUUUGGGUUAUUAAGAGUUGUUACUGA